rnacentral:rRNA from 1 species
GAGUGCUUGCACUCCUGAUGGUUAGCGGCGGACGGGUGAGUAACACGUAGGCAACCUGCCCUCAAGACUGGGAUAACUACCGGAAACGGUAGCUAAUACCGGAUAAUUUAUUACAUAGCAUUAUGUGAUAAUGAAAGACGGAGCAAUCUGUCACUUGGGGAUGGGCCUGCGGCGCAUUAGCUAGUUGGUGGGGUAACGGCCCACCAAGGCGACGAUGCGUAGCCGACCUGAGAGGGUGAACGGCCACACUGGGACUGAGACACGGCCCAGACUCCUACGGGAGGCAGCAGUAGGGAAUCUUCCGCAAUGGGCGAAAGCCUGACGGAGCAACGCCGCGUGAGUGAUGAAGGUUUUCGGAUCGUAAAGCUCUGUUGCCAAGGAAGAACGUCUCAUAGAGUAACUGCUAUGAGAGUGACGGUACUUGAGAAGAAAGCCCCGGCUAACUACGUGCCAGCAGCCGCGGUAAUACGUAGGGGGCAAGCGUUGUCCGGAAUUAUUGGGCGUAAAGCGCGCGCAGGCGGUUCUUUAAGUCUGGUGUUUAAACCUGGGGCUCAACUUCAGGUCGCACUGGAAACUGGGGAACUUGAGUGCAGAAGAGGAGAGUGGAAUUCCACGUGUAGCGGUGAAAUGCGUAGAUAUGUGGAGGAACACCAGUGGCGAAGGCGACUCUCUGGGCUGUAACUGACGCUGAGGCGCGAAAGCGUGGGGAGCAAACAGGAUUAGAUA